rnacentral:rRNA from 1 species
UACGAGGGGGGCGAGCGUUGUUCGGAAUUAUUGGGCGUAAAGGGCGCGUAGGCGGUCGGAUAAGUCUUGUGUGAAAUCUUCGGGCUCAACUCGGAGUCUGCACAGGAAACUAUCUGGCUUGAGUGUGGGAGAGGUGAGUGGAAUUCCUGGUGUAGCGGUGAAAUGCGUAGAUAUCAGGAGGAACACCUGUGGCGAAAGCGGCUCACUGGACCACAACUGACGCUGAGGCGCGAAAGCGAGGGGAGCAAACAGG